rnacentral:lncRNA from 1 species
UCGCGAUCCGGACAGAGAAAGAGAGAGAGAAAAAGAUCCGAGCAGAUGAAAAUUAAUUAAUCGCCUUCUCUCUCUCUCUCUCGUUCUCUCUCUUCCUUGCUCUCGGUAAAUUUGAAAGCUCGACGAGGGUUUGAAGAGGGUUGCGACUCUAUUAGCGACAGGUGAUGGAAGUUUGAUCGAAAUGGUCGAAUCACGCUCGAUUAAUCGGCACACGGUGUUAAUCGAAACGAAAUUCUGAGAAAGUAAUUCUUAGAAAGAAAAAAAAAAUUAUCGAUAAGAUCUCGAUCUCGAUUAACUUGACUAAUCGAAAUUUUUUAAGGGAUUCCUUUUAGGAGAAAUUAUUAAAGAUCAUAAGAAGAUACGCGAGAGGUUCGAACACAGAAGGUUGUUGCGAACAUGAUUGGCAAGCGUGAAAAGUGUGAGGGACGCAGGAAACGAUAAAACUGUCGAUUUGAAACGAACGACAUCCUCGAUAUCGAUUUAACACAGACUUCCACGGUAUAAAGAUGGUUUUAUAUAUAUAUCUGUGUAAAUAAAAUAUCCAUUUUUUCCAAACUUUUCUUGCGACGAGAAUUUAUAAUCUCGUUGCAACAUUCGAGAAAUCAUCGAUUAUAAAAAGGGAUCGAUAUACUCUUGCUUCGAAUAUCAUUUUCAAUUUUCAACAUCGAUGAAACAUUUCCUCCCUGUCCCGAAUAUUCGAUUAUCAAACAUCAACCGAUGAUAUCAAAACGCCUAAAAAUUCUGAUCACGUGAUAAAAUAAUCAUACUCCCCUUUUCCUUUUCCCUUUGUCAACGCACCUCUUCUUUACUCCGCUCAAUUUCGACCCUCCCCCUUCAAAUUGAACAACAAUCGUCGUUCGCUGUUGCCUCGAGGAUCGAACAAACAUCCCCUCCCCUCGAUCGGUUCGAGAGAAAAAUCGGCCCGCGACACGGUGACCCGUCCCCAUUCGAGGCCUCCUCGCGAUAAACCGAGUGGGAGGGAGGGAGGGAGGGGAGAGCCACGCAAAAAAGCUCGGUCUGUCGGCGCGCCGCUUUUCGGCUCGAGCUCGGUGUCGCCGACGAGCUCGAACGGCGACGAUACCGAGAGGCCAAUGGCCCCACGGUGCAAUGGUGCAGUGUGCAAUCGCGCGGCUUUGCGAGGCUCGCGAGGGAGAGAGAGGGGCGGAGAGGGGGCCGUCUGCGGAGCGAUCCGCGAGCGGAAACCUUGAAGCGUGGAUCGCGUGUGGGUCGAGGCGGAGAGGAGAGGAGGAGAGACAGGUAAACGAGGUUGGAGAACGACGGAGUGACACUGGGAGGAGGCGAAUGGAGAGUCUGGCCGACGUCGCUUGGAAAUCACCAGACCCACGUGACGCGCGGCCUUCGAAAAUUAAUAUACUUAUUGCGAGAUAUAGAUUUUUUACAAGGAUACAGAGAAGUUUCUCUUGCGUUUUAUAUAUAAUAUGAAAUACUUGGGAUCUAUUAUUACCGCAAGUAUUCGAGAUUAGAAAAUUUCUCGAAGAUGAGAGAAUUUCAAAUCGGAAGGAAAGGGAGGGUCACGGUGAGCUUCGGUAUUUUUUUAAAGAAUUUCGAGGAUGAUGCUGAUGCGGGGGAAACGCAAGGGUGGCGCGCAAGCUUGGAAGGUUUUUGGUAAACACGGGUCGCGGGGUAAUCACCCCUAUCGCGGGCCGUAAAGCCCCCGUGCGCCGUGAAAAAACGCAAUUUUUCGCAGACGCGAGCGUCACGUAUAAUAAAACGGGUCCAGCGAUGGGAUCGUGCGUGGCUCGUACCGCGUCAGCGGCGCGGAUCUCUGGAUCGAUCGUCCCUCUCUCUUCGCGCAUCGACGAGGAUGGAAACUCACCGUUCAUGAAAUAUACAACAGACGAACUUACAUCGACUUCGAAACUGGCUCUCUCUUCCGACCGAUAUCCACAACUGCAUUCGGGUCCAGUGUGUCGGAGGAACAGCCGGGGGGGAAAAAAAUCUUCGAUCGGACUCGCCAUUUUCUCUUACAUCACAUUUCAAUUAUUUCCAUCCGAUAAAUUAAUAAGAUUGUUGGCGUCGAAGAAAAUAAACAAGUCUUUAGGAUCGAUCUUUCCUCGAGUACUUUCCUCCAACAACGAGUCAAAGUGCUAAUUAUGAAAAUUCUUUGUGUUGUCCCAUAUCUUUUUUUCGAAUACUUGUAUUAUAGUCCGAUAACGAAUUGUAUUUUAUCAUCAAUUCCCUUAAACGAAACGAGUGCAAUUAACGAUGAUAACGAAUACAAGGGAAGAAAAUGGAAACAGAAUCUGGCAAACAUGCCGCGAUUUUUCUCUUCUCCAUUGGUCGCUUCCAGAAGUCAACUUCUUCCCACGAAGAAAGAACCUACGACCGAUUCUUGGCGGAGCGCGCGAAAAACUCGUCUGGUCUCUCUUGACCUCCCGCCGGGGCUGUUUCUUGCACGAGGUUGCCUUUCUCCUCUCCUCGGUUACUUUCGGUUUCACCGGCAAAUUUAUUCGGCGACGAAGCCAACUCUCCAAACUGAUAAUAACCCUCUCGAUCCUCUGAAAUCUGUCGACAUCCAUCAAUUCUCGAUAUCCAAUUGUAAUUUAAAAAAAAAAUUACCACGCAGACUAACCUUCUUCUUCGAAUUAACGUUCCCUCUACCAAAGAUAUCGAGUCGUUUAAAAUAAAUAAAUAAAUAAAUAUUUCUCACGAAUCUUCAAUUCUUCAUAUUUUUUUUUUACGUAUCUUGGAAAAAAAAAACAAUUACCGAUCCAAUAAUAACCGAGGAAUGCAAAGCACUCGAUACACAUCUCUCCAUUAAAAAAAACAAAAUUAAAGUUGCCACGCGAUUGGGAACACCGAUUCCAUUUCGUUCCUCCCCCUCCUCCUUCUCCUUCUCCUCCUCCUCCUCCUCCUCCUCCUCUGUCCCCUCGAGGAGCCGUGACGCGCGUAAACAUCCGGCCACGUGGAGAAACAGCGUUUGUUAGACGCUCGGAUCCGCAAAACGUACGACACAGAGGAAAAAUAUAUAUAUAUACAUAUAUAUACAUAUAUAUAUACUUGGAGGCUUGAAGACAACUCUUCGCGCUUUCUCUCUCGCUCCCUCUCCCCUCUUCUCUCUCUCUCUCUCUCUAUCUCUAUCUCUCUCUAUCUCUCUGUUACCGAGUAAUGCAAGCGUUCCUGGUACGUCGACAUGGAACGGCCGACCCUGACGAGAGGUUUAUAGCAGCAUCCAUUAUUAGAACGCCGAUACGAGAAGCUACUACGCUUCAUAAAUAUAAAUUCGAAUGCAUAAUCGAUGAAAGCGAACGCCUACCGAGCGACGCCAACUGCAUGACAAAUGCAUUGUGGAUCGGCAGAUGAGGGGGGAGAGAUAUUUCAUCCUUAGCGUCCCGGCCAUUUACCGAAACCGAAACCGAAACGGUAAAACGGUUUUCGUUAGUCCAGUCCACUGCUAUUAUUACUGCUACUACUCCCGUGGGACGAAUCGAUUCAAUAUUAAAUUCUUCUGAAAAGAUGUAAGAAUAUAGAUAUACCUUCUCGUAAAAUGAUCGAAUAAAUCGAACGGAAAGAGAGAGAAGUAACGCUGUACAAGCGCGUCGUCCAAGAUGUAUCGAACAGAAUCUCCUGAAAAUUAUACAUCUCCUUGUGUAUCGCGUCAUUCAACUCCUCGAAAGAAGCUAGAAAGGCUUUGUAGGUGGUUGUGUUGUGUAUCGAGAACCGAUUAUAUCAGGCUCUCAUUGAUCGCCGAUAGGUCGAUGUUCCCCGAUUAACCCGCCAGGUCAACGUCCAUGAAAGAACGCGUUCAUGGGCUUUUUCGCUCGAACGGGGUCAGACUCUCUCCCCUCCCCGCCCCCCUGUUGUUGCACACGUAUAUGUAUAUGUGUAUAUAUAUAAAUAUAACUUCUCGUCACACGCUAAUCUCGCGGUGAUUUUUUCAUUUUAGAUGGGCGGAGCGCAUGAUGGCCCCCACAGGCGCAUCAUUGUUGACUCGAGAACUGUGACAAGGGCAGGGUGAAGGGGGGAAAGGGGGCUGGAACGUCGUAUGUCGAUGGUGUAUAACACUCUGUGUACGCAUCACGCGCGGUCCUCGAGCGAGUUCAAGUUUAGCCAUCCAUCCAUCGAGAGUUUGGCCUCCAGUGUUAGAGUAGCUUAUCGCUUGCUUCGUGGCUCGUCGAGCAACGAUUCUUCGAUUUGGAGAAGAAAAUUUAAUUCGUAUCUCGUAAAGAGGAAGGCGAGGAUGACGAUCGAACUCGGUGGUGGAUACAAUUUUUUGUUUCAUCGAAUAACACAUAUCCGGGGUGAACAUGUUGAACGAGAAAGAAAGAAAAAAAGUCGAUUUGGUUAUUACUAACCGGCACCCAGACAGAAGGACAGGAUGUAUAAGCAAGCGCAAAGGAGCGGUAACCAAUACAGAGUGUCGGCUAACGGGGGAUUGGAUUCUUUUAUGAUGAAAAA